rnacentral:rRNA from 1 species
CAGAGACUGCGAGCGUUAUUCGGAUUCACUGGGCGUAAAGGGUGCGCAGGCGGCCAAGUGUGUGAGGCGUGAAAGCCCGGGGCUUAACCCCGGAAUUGCACCUCAAACUACAUGGCUAGAGCAUUGGAGAGGGUAGCAGAAUUCAUGGCGUAGCAGUGAAAUGCGUAGAUAUCAUGAGGAAUACCAGAGGCGAAGGCGGCUACCUGGACAAUUGCUGACGCUCAGGCACGAAAGCGUGGGGAGCAAAAGGGAUUAGAUACCCCUGUAGUCCACGCCCUAAACGGUGCACACUAGGUCUUGGCGGAUUCGACCCCACCAGGGCCCAAGCUAACGCGUUAAGUGUGCCGCCUGAGGACUACGGCCGCAAGGCUA